UUCUUCGGAUGAAGAUCUUGGUGACUGAGUGGCGGACGGGUGAGUAACGCGUGAGGAACCUGCCUUUCAGAGGGGGAUAACAGUUGGAAACGGCUGCUAAUACCGCAUAAGCGCACAGUACCGCAUGGUACAGUGUGAAAAACUCCGGUGGUGUGAGAUGGACCCGCGUCUGAUUAGCUAGUUGGCAGGGCAACGGCCCACCAAGCCGACGAUCGGUAGCCGACCUGAGAGGGUGAUCGGCCACAUUGGGACUGAGACACGGCCCAAACUCC
rnacentral:rRNA from 1 species